rnacentral:lncRNA from 1 species
CAUCACAUGUUUUCCCACCUUUCUUUACACAAAUGUUAGCAUAACAUACAUAUUUUAAUAUCUUGACUUAAAAACCUUAACAUUAUUAUAAACACACAAACACACUCCUAUCUGUUUAUAUAUACUUAAAAUUAUCUCUAAAAACACAGCAAGUCUGUGGUAAAUGGGAAUGGAGCACUGAAGGAUGGGACAGAAAGUUUUUUUUCAGGAUAUAUUUCUUACAUCUUGGAGUUUGAACUAAGUAUAUUUUCUAUUCAAC